AUGGGCCUGGGGCUCUCAAGCCCAAAAGACACCAAACGAAAGAAUAACCCUGAAAAGAGAAUGACGUUCAGUCUUCACACCACACAUGAUCGAAAUAUCCCUCUCCACUCUCAAACCAAACAUGUCUCACCGUAGACAGAGGCUCCGCCGCACCGGAGGCGGUGGAGCAGUCCCAAUCAUGAAAUUCCAACCACUAAAACGCUCAUCUCCGUCGUCUCAUUCUAAAUCCCUCCUUCAUUUUUGCUAAUUUAUACAUACGAGUUCAAAUCGAAAGGGAAGGUCCAAGAACCCUAGAGUAUAAAAUCAAAAUUAAAUAUCAACCAUUGCGUGAUUCAACCUACAAACUUAGGGUUAUCCAUCCUCAACCUCUACUCAGGCUACAGGUAACAAUAAUUUAAGGAGAAUCGACGAAAAUUCGAAGACCUACCAGAAGAGGAUUCGAUGACGGUGAUGAUCUCAGGUCAGAAUUAGAGAAAGGUUAUGGAUUGUGAUAUCAUGGCCACCUCUGCUUCAUGCCUGCAGUCUGUUGGGUGAACUGAAAGACUAUGUUAUUUAAUUGGACUAUUAUGUUGGAUUGUUAAUGUUUGUGUGCUCAUAAAUUGUUUGAUGGGUGCAGGGCUAGUAUGGUUCAUGAAGCAACAUUCAAUAAGUUUUACCAUAGCUUGGGAUGGCACCAUGGCUACCAUGUCAAAUCUUAAUGAACAACUUCAAGAACUUGGAUGCACCAAGGAAGGAUGGUUUAUAACAUGAAGAAGAGAUAGAGAUUAUGGUUAAGUCGAAGGAUGAGGUGAGUUGACUUUGGUCAACUGGUUGACCAAAAAGUCAACAGCUGACCAAAGUCAAUUGUAAGGUCAAAGUUUCAUUUUCUUGUAACUUUUGUAUGGAUCUUGUAACCUUGGCAUUGUAUGAAUGUAAUGAACAAUUGAAUGAAAGCUAGCCUAUUUAUUUCAAAGAAAAGACAUUUUUGUUUCAAAUUGUGACUUUCCCACCAA